GACGAACCGUGCAAACGUUAUUCGGAAUCACUGGGCCUAAAGGGCGCGUAGGCGGCUCCAAAAGUCAGGGGUGAAAUCCGGCAGCUUAACUGUCGCAGUGCCUUUGAUACUGUGGAGCUAGAGGGAGGUAGGGGUCUGUGGAACUUCCGGUGGAGCGGUGAAAUGCGUUGAUAUCGGAAGGAACGCCGGUGGCGAAAGCGACGGACUGGAUCUCUUCUGACGCUGAGGCGCGAAAGCCAGGGGAGCAAACGGG
rnacentral:rRNA from 1 species